AGGACACUGCCCUUUCACGGCUGUAACAGGGGUUCGAAUCCCCUUGGGGACGCCACUCCGAUAAUGUGUGAAA
rnacentral:tRNA from 1 species